rnacentral:rRNA from 1 species
UACGUAGGGUGCGAGCGUUGUCCGGAAUUACUGGGCGUAAAGAGCUCGUAGGCGGUUUGUCGCGUCUGCCGUGAAAGUCCGGGGCUCAACUCCGGGCCUGCAGUGGGUACGGGCAGACUAGAGUGCGGUAGGGGAGACUGGAAUUCCUGGUGUAGCGGUGAAAUGCGCAGAUAUCAGGAGGAACACCGGUGGCGAAGGCGGGUCUCUGGGCCGUAACUGACGCUGAGGAGCGAAAGCGUGGGGAGCAAACGGG